rnacentral:misc_RNA from 1 species
UACAGAGAUGGCAAGCGUUGUUCGGAAUCACUGGGCAUAAAGGGCACGUAGGCGGGCGGGUAAGUCAGGUGUGAAAUCCCUCGGCUCAACCGAGGAACUGCGCCUGAAACUACUCGUCUUGAGGGCAGGAGGGGAGAGUGGAACUCUUGGUGGAGCGGUGAAAUGCGUAGAUACCAAGAGGAACGCCGGUGGCGAAAGCGACUCUCUGGCCUGUUUCUGACGCUGAGGUGCGAAAGCUAGGGGAGCAAACAGG